AAAAAUAAUACCACACUCGGCUGAAAUCACAUCCAACUGGAGUCCUGUUUGUAAUCCUUCAUCCUUUCUGGGAGUCAGUCAGCUGCCACGGACACCCCCACAGGAUGGAUCUUUUUCCAAGGCAACAAACGCUCAAUUCAUGGGGGAACUGGAGCCCGGCUCCUGUGCUGUUUCUUCGAGGUCCUUGAAAGGGUGGAAUAUGAAUGGAAACCAAAGACAGAUUAUUUUCAGAAAGGCUCCCAACAUAAUCAGCAUCUCCUGCAGCUGCUGACAGACACAAUGAGCGGAUGAACCAAAAGGUUAAUGGAAGGGGACCGGUGAAUCCAGUUUGACCUGGAGUAAAGGGAACGAGGCCAGAAGUUGAGCAAGAGCGACAUGCAAGCAGAGAGUCAAAAGGACUUUAAAGAGGCCGGACACAAAGUCAGGAAAAAAGAAUGCCAGAGAUGACAGAAAGCCUGCAAAGUCUGGAUAAGGAGCUUGAACUUUAUUGACUGCAUCCUGUGGAUAAAAUGACAUCAGCGGAAGACACAGCAAAAAGACAUUUUAAUGAAAGAAAAGGUGAGACGUCUGAGGACGAGAACUGUUGAUGCUGGUGAAGGCUUGGAGGGAAAUGUGAACUCAGGAUCAACUUUGGACAUCUCCACUUGCUUGUUACCAAAUCCCAGACAAACUAUGCACAUCUCAUUUAUUCUCAGAAAAAAUGAUGGAUUUCUCUUUGCUGGAGGUUUCCAGUGGUACAGGACCAAUCAUCUAAGUCACUUCCUCCCCUAAUUUGAAUUAGCGACAGAUCUUGUGAGCCACAGUAAGUGCUAAGCUAGCCUGAAGGACGGAUGCUGCCGUUUACACUGCAGAAGGGGAGUCGUCUUGGAUGGGUCCUUACUCAUUUAUUUGACAUUCAGAAGGAUAGUCAGUAAAAUUAACAAGUCUUUCUGAGUGCCAUCUUAAGUUUUCAUGCCAAGCUAUCUGAACUUUAGGACAAACAUUCUUAAACAUCUUUACACUCUCAAUAAAUAAAAAUUUCCUUGCAUGUAUCAACCAGGAGUGAUUUAACACUGGGAAUAAGAAACCUAAGUGAACAUGAUACCAACCAGAA